AUGAUGACAGCCACGACGGAGAUCAUGCGAAGAAGACGAAGAGAACAACAUCAUCGUGAAUUAGAAGACGGAGCAAGGAGAUCGAUGCGCCGUUUGGAUAAUGAAGAAAGGAUGAAUCGCGUUUCUCGAAGAAGACGAAAGGUCGUUCACUUCAAAACCCUAUCAACACUGAAAAACGGUAUCGUUUCACCAAAUUCAAUGUUUAUCCCUUUAUUUACUUUUUUGUUUUUGAGAAAUGCUGAAAAUGUAAAAAAUAUGAAUACAAUGGCGAUGGAUUGGACUUGUUGUUCCUUGGACUGGAUUUCAUCUUGGCUAGGCCUGUUUGUCUUGCAUUUUUGA